UAAUAAGAGUAGUAUAAAACAUAAAAAGACAUAAAAAUGGGCAUAUGUGUAUAAACAUAUAAACACCUGUGCUACUUUACAAGUAUUUGGAGUUUAAAAAAAAUUUAUAUAAGCAAAAAAAUAUUGCGAGUGGUGGGAAUAUGUAGUAGGCAAAAGCAAGCAGAAGGCACAUGUAGGUUGAUUAAACGAGUAUAGUAUAGUAGAAGGGAAUAGAAGAAGAGUAUCAUGACGCAUACACAUUGUAUGAUUGUAUGGUAGAGUGGGUUUACGGCACUUGAACACACUUUAAAAUAAUAAAUGUUGAGUGUAGCAGUGUAAAGGCAGUGUAUACAGAGGACAGUGUAUGAUACAAGAUGGUAAGAGCAGCAGCAACUGCAGCAACAGCGAAAACAGCCACAGCAGGUUCAAUGGCUGGCAGAUAAUAUUAUGACGCAUGCGCAAAACUGGACAUUUGGACGAGCAAAAGGAAAUAAGAAUAAAGAACAAGGUAUAAGUAUAGAGUGGUAGAGUUGGAGAUGGUAACGAAAUAGAACGGACAAGAGAAUAGAGGUGAGUACGUGACUCAGAGUGAGAAAGAGGAUAGAGAGGCGCAGGCAGAAAAGAGGCAUGACGCCAUGUUUUGAUGUCGUCAUCCCCCCCCUAAAGUAAAACCUCUGCUGGUGUUUUUCGACAUUAAAACUUGGUGUUGUACUUAAUAUUUUUAAUUGUUUAUAUUGUUUUAUUAUUGUGUUGUGUGGCCUACCCCCUGGAAUAUAUAUUAAACCGAUAGUUUAUAAAAUAAAUCCAAUUUUUAGUAAUUAAACUUGAGAAGAAUUUGGACACUGAGAGUCAGGUGAGCCACACAACUUUGCUCUGUCUUUUUCUCACAUAUAUUAAGUGUUACUAUAUUGCUGCUACAUACUACAUACUCCUGCUUGAUGUUGGGGAAAGCGAUCGCCGAGCGGGGGGGGUCCGCGAGCGUCGUCUACGUGGUUGUGGCAUCCUAGUGAACAACCGACAUUUAUAAUUAUAUUGUUGCUUAGGAUUACGUCACAACACCACCAUUUAAAGUUUUAUGUCUUUUAAUCCAAGUUACUCUACAUGAAAAUUAAUAUUACAACACAGUGCCUCGAAGUAUUAUCAUGGAGUUGCGAUUACACUCACCAGCGGGAGCGGAGCCCAUCGUUUAUCAGUGGCCACUCACUUCUGGAUCAGGCGCCGAUCGUCACGAUGGAGCCAUUGAUGUUGUCGAAACGAUGAGAUGGGUCUGUGAUGAUCUACCGGACCUAAAAUUACCACUGGAGAAUAAUAUUCUCCAAAAUUAUGACACCAGAGAUUAUGAUAGUAUGAAGGGUUUAUGUGAUCGUUUUAAUCGAGCUAUCGACAGCCUAGUGCAAUUGGAAAAAGGAACGAGUUUACCAUCAAUGAGAUUAAAUAAACGACCUAGCAGAGGAUUACUUCGACACAUAUUACAGCAAACAUACAAUCAGGCGGUAGUUGAGCCGGAUAAAUUGAACCAAUAUGAACCAUUUUCCCCAGAAGUUUACGGUGAAACUAGUUACGAGCUUGUUUGUCAAAUGAUUGACCAAAUAGACGUCACUGAGGAUGAUAUUUUUAUUGACCUUGGGUCUGGUGUUGGUCAAGUUGUUUUACAAAUGGCUGCAGCGACUUAUUGUAAAAUUUCAUUGGGUGUUGAAAAAGCUGAAGUGCCUUCACGUUAUGCGCAGAGCAUGGAAGUGAAUUUUCGAAAAUGGUUAAGUUGGUACGGAAAAAGAUGCGGAGAGUAUCGCUUAGUAAAAGGGGAUUUCUUAGCUGAUGAAAACCGUGAGAGUAUUACUAGUGCAACUAUAGUUUUUGUAAAUAAUUUUGCAUUCGGUCCAACGGUAGAUCAUCAAUUGAAAGAACGUUUUGCUGAUUUACGAGAUGGAGCGCGAAUUGUAUCAUCUAAAUCAUUUUGUCCGUUAAAUUUUCGUAUUACAGACCGAAAUCUCAGUGAUAUUGGAACAAUAAUGCAUGUUUCGGAGAUGACACCUUUAAAGGGAUCUGUCUCUUGGACUGGGAAACCAGUAUCUUACUACCUCCAUGUAAUCGAUCGAACAAAAUUAGAACGUUAUUUUCUUCGUCUUAAAAACAAUAGAAUGGGCGGACCAGACCUUGAAAACUCUGAUUCUGUGAUAAGUAACACUGCCAGCAAUAGUAGUAGUAGAAUAUCAAGUAGAGCUGAGCGAGGAGAUAGAGCUAAAAGAGAUUUAUCACGGCAGCUUGAAAGUCCUAAUAAUUCUGAAUUAAUUGGUACAAAUAGUGAUUCAGAUAUGGACGAUACUAAAACACGGCGUCAACCCUCGAAAAUGCGUAGAAAAUUGAAUAGAAAAACCGGUGCUGGUGCUAAUAAUAUUAGUAAUAUUACCAAUAAUAAUAGUAAUAGUACUGGUAGUAUCACACGAGCAACAAGAGGUAGACAACGAGGUAGAGGAGCUGUCAAGAAAGCUAAAACCAAAAAAGCUAUCAAUAUCUCUGGACUAGAUUUGUUACACAGUCAAACACUGUUGAGUACAUCACCACAAGCUAUUGGUAAAAAGCUACCUCCAGCUCCUGGUACUGUUGAGCAACAUCUUUCCUCGUUGUCAUUGUCAUUGCAAGCUAAUACCACAACUGUACAUGAAGAGCUUAGCAUACCUCCAGCACCGGCUGCAACUCCCUAUGCACUGCAAAUUCUUCUCGAUCAUUACAGGGACCAAUUUAUGGCAAUGUUGGAUUCAUUAAGGACGCCUGCAUACAAAGACUCGGUAAAUGACGAGCUGACUAAGGAGCGUGAACGUAAUUCAAAAUUACAGUCACGUGCAGCGCAAUUAGAAAAACAAAUAAAGGUAUUGAUUGAUGACAGUGUGGCAUUAUUAAAAGCAAGAAUGACAGAAUUGGGUAUUAAUGCCACUUCACCGGGUGAUUUGCUUGCAAAAGCUAAAGAAAUCGUACUGAGGCAUAAACAACUGCAAGCGAAAGCCAGUAAAUUACAAGCUCAAGUGUCGUCAAUGGAGACUGAACAAACGCGAUUGGCAACGCUCAGGCAUCAAGAGCUUCAUGAUAAGUACAACAACAGCAGUAGUCAUGAUAAUGCUAAUAAUAUUUCAAAUCCUCCUCCGGUACUUACACCAGAGUAUAUACUCAAAGAGAUAUCUGCAACGUUAUCGCAGAGAAAAAAAUUACAUUCUCAGGUAUCAAAAUUAGAGCACGAAUUAAAUCAAUUAGAACGUACAGCCAGUGAUAAACAAGCAGUAGCGAUAGCCCAACAGCAUCGUGAUGCUGUUGCUAAUAAAAAUUUACAUCAUCAUUCACAGCAGAACGGAAAGAGUCCACGUAAAACCCGUGAAGGACGUUCAAGGUCUCAGGAGUGGCCUGAUGUACCGGAUAUCGGUAAAAUACAAGAAAACAAUCCGGAAAUUUUAGCACAAAAAAUUUUAGAAACUGGUCGUCAGAUAGAAGCUGGCCGUAUACCUAACAGACUCAAUUCUUCUGGUGGUACAUCAAAUAUUAACAACAACAAUAUUAACAACAACAACAGUGAACCACCAAGAGUUAAUAAUUUUGAGGACCGCCUAAAGAGUAUCAUUACCAGUGUAUUAAAUGAAGACCAACAGAAUAGAAAUAAACAGCAGCAACAGCAACAGCCCCAUUCUUAUCAGUUACAAACUCAGCAUCAACAACAACAACAACAACAACAGUCACCUCAAUCCAGUGACUUUGAUCGUAAACGUACGAGUAGUAUACCGCCAAAUGUAUCAACACCCGAUUAUACUCAAGUUUCACCAGCAAAAUUAGCGCUACGUCGACAUUUGUCGCAAGAACGCCUUACGUGUCAUUUAGUACAGCCCGAUAGAUCAUCGUCAGCACCAGAUUCACGGCAGCUAACUCAUAAUAAUAAUAAUAAUAAUAAUGUUAAUAAUAAUCAUAUUACUAAUAAUAAUAAUAAUAAUAAUAAUAGUUGUAGUGGUAAUAAUGACAAUCGUAUUCCAUCGACCGGUACGAGUACUGGAUUACUCGGUACAAGAACAAUCGGUGAUCUCGUGAGCGGUGAGAUUGAACGAACGCUUGAAAUAUCUAACCAAUCGAUUAUUAACGCGGCAGUGGAUAUGAGUGCAAUGAUAAGACCCGAAACAGUUUAUUCCCCUAUUAGUAGACCUGCUAGUGCAGAAGGUGAAACAGGUCUUGCUACUUUGGCGCACGUUGCUAGUUAUGCACCAAAUUGUUCGGCUUCUGCAUCAACUUCAACUACAUCAACUUCACGUUCUUCUGUUUUAUUUACGCCUGCUUCUCAAUCCCAAAGAUAUACACCGGUUCAAUUACCGCGAGCAGACUUGAAACCUUACCAUGAAUCAUAUUUUGGUGAUAAUUCAACGCAGUUAAUAAAACAAACUCAACAUACUACGGUAUCUCAUCCAUCUCAGUCAUCAGCGUCAAAUGAUGAUUUACAGCCUGUGGAAGGUCUUGCAGCAUCGCUUCAUGCACGAAUAAUAAAUAAUCACAGCGACAAAAAUGAAUCUUCAAACAAUCGAAGAUAUCAACCGUAUCCACGUUACGUAAACAGUAGCAACAGCCACGGCAGUAAUGAUGGUAGUGUGCUCUCGCCUCUACAAUCACAAUCAGCAGUGUCUUUAGUUAAAAUAGAGACUAAUGUCUCAUCGGUGAGCACAAGUGGAGCACCUCUGAGUCCUCUUAUUGAACCACAUUCUAAUACCUCAACACCGCUAGUUGAUGAACCACACAUGACUACGCAGAGACAGCCCAGUGGGAUAAUAGAUGAAGAUGCACUGUAGCUGUUUGUUGGUUAGCUCUGUCACAUACUCAAUCUCUCUCUUCAAAAAUUCCCUCAAGGCUUGUGUUUUAUUAGAGAUUGAGACGAUCAGAGGGAGAAAGAAAAAUAUGAGAAAAGUAUGGCUGCCUUUGGGUUGGUUCGCGGUCUCUUGAUGGUGAAGCAGACUGGCAAGAUCGCAUUAGUUCGGGUUUCGAUAGACUAGUUGCAUUUGCCUCAACAGAGCUUGACAAACGACGGAGGUCUACGGAAGGCGUCAACACAAGUCCAGACAGUGGAUUAGGAUCAGAUAGCGCAGUUAUUGGACCACCUCGAGUAGCACCUUCACCGGAUGAAGCACUCGGUCCACCGCGAACACCAUCUCCGACUAGUCCACGGCCGCCAAAUAAUUGUACCGCACCGAGUAAUAGUAGCAACAAUAACAGCAGCAGCAACAACAACAACAACA
rnacentral:misc_RNA from 1 species